rnacentral:rRNA from 1 species
UACGUAGGGGGCAAGCGUCGUCCGGAAUCAUUGGGCGUAAAGCGCGUGUAGGCGGCUCGGUAAGUCUGCUGUGAAAGUCCAGGGCUCAACCCUGGGAUGCCGGUGGAUACUGUCGAGCUCGAGUCCGGAAGAGGCGAGUGGAAUUCCUGGUGUAGCGGUGAAAUGCGCAGAUAUCUGGAGGAACACCGGUGGCGAAGGCGGCAUCCUGGACCGGCAUUGACGCUGAGGCGCGAAAGCCAGGGGAGCAAACGGG